UUAGAGUUUGAUCCUGGCUCAGAACGAACGCUGGCGGCGUGGAUAAGACAUGCAAGUCGAACGAGAGAAUUGCUAGCUUGCUAAUAAUUCUCUAGUGGCGCACGGGUGAGUAACACGUGAGUAACCUGCCCCCGAGAGCGGGAUAGCCCUGGGAAACUGGGAUUAAUACCGCAUAGUAUCGAAAGAUUAAAGCAGCAAUGCGCUUGGGGAUGGGCUCGCGGCCUAUUAGUUAGUUGGUGAGGUAACGGCUCACCAAGGCGAUGACGGGUAGCCGGUCUGAGAGGAUGUCCGGCCACACUGGAACUGAGACACGGUCCAGACACCUACGGGUGGCAGCAGUCGAGAAUCAUUCACAAUGGGGGAAACCCUGAUGGUGCGACGCCGCGUGGGGGAAUGAAGGUCUUCGGAUUGUAAACCCCUGUCAUGUGGGAGCAAAUUAAAAAGAUAGUACCACAAGAGGAAGAGACGGCUAACUCUGUGCCAGCAGCCGCGGUAAUACAGAGGUCUCAAGCGUUGUUCGGAAUCACUGGGCGUAAAGCGUGCGUAGGCUGUUUCGUAAGUCGUGUGUGAAAGGCGCGGGCUCAACCCGCGGACGGCACAUGAUACUGCGAGACUAGAGUAAUGGAGGGGGAACCGGAAUUCUCGGUGUAGCAGUGAAAUGCGUAGAUAUCGAGAGGAACACUCGUGGCGAAGGCGGGUUCCUGGACAUUAACUGACGCUGAGGCACGAAGGUCAGGGGAGCGAAAGGGAUUAGAUACCCCUGUAGUCCUGGCAGUAAACGGUGCACGCUUGGUGUGCGGGGAAUCGACCCCCUGCGUGCCGGAGCUAACGCGUUAAGCGUGCCGCCUGGGGAGUACGGUCGCAAGAUUAAAACUCAAAGAAAUUGACGGGGACCCGCACAAGCGGUGGAGUAUGUGGCUUAAUUCGAUGCAACGCGAAGAACCUUACCUGGGCUUGACAUGUAAUGAACAACAUGUGAAAGCAUGCGACUCUUCGGAGGCGUUACACAGGUGCUGCAUGGCCGUCGUCAGCUCGUGUCGUGAGAUGUUUGGUUAAGUCCAGCAACGAGCGCAACCCCUGUUGCCAGUUACCAGCACGUGAAGGUGGGGACUCUGGCGAGACUGCCCAGAUCAACUGGGAGGAAGGUGGGGACGACGUCAGGUCAGUAUGGCCCUUAUGCCCAGGGCUGCACACGUACUACAAUGCCCAGUACAGAGGGGGCCGAAGCCGCGAGGCGGAGGAAAUCCUGAAAACUGGGCCCAGUUCGGACUGUAGGCUGCAACCCGCCUACACGAAGCCGGAAUCGCUAGUAAUGGCGCAUCAGCUACGGCGCCGUGAAUACGUUCCCGGGUCUUGCACUCACCGCCCGUCA
rnacentral:rRNA from 1 species